rnacentral:lncRNA from 1 species
GGGGGCUCGCAGUCUUGAUUCCCUCUUUGAUUUUCUUGGACUGCCUAGAACCAGGCAGCUUGCCUGAUUUCAUUCCACUGGCUAUAGGAAUCCAGAGGGCUCUGGGGACCCCAGAGUGAUAAACGCUGGCCCCCUCCUUGCCAUCCUUACCUUGCCUCGUGGUGCCAUCUUGAGCACAGCUGAAAGGGAGCCUGGACGUCUGGCUGGGACUCUCAGGGGUCCAGGCUACCGGGCUCCCUCCCAGUUCACUCUGCAGCCAGCCUAGUCUUGGUCUUGGCUGCUUUUGCCCUCUGGACGGGAGCCUGGAACCCUGACCUCAUACAGUCCCCUGGGCUUCUCAGCCGGCCAGGUUCCAAGCCAGUUGAAUCCACCCACAGCCAGAGGACCCUGAGCCGAGACAGCUGGGGAUGGGGUAGAGGUGACUAGUUGGACAGAGCAAAGGAAGGAGAGUGUGUGGGACUUUCCAUGCCAGCCCUGCCCUCGGGGGGUGGGGGCAGGGUUAUGUGGGGAGGUGUGCUAAGCCAGCUUUGACCCAGAAAGGGGAGGGGCUGUGGCUCUCAGGGACCAGGGAAGGGGAACAAGAGGGGCUGUGUCUAACCACCUCAGGACCCCAGUGCUCAGAGAGGGCAAGCAGUGGGCCAAGGUCACACAGAAGCCAGUGGCAGCGCUUCCGGUCUAGCGUCCUUUCCCUGCCUGGAUGCUACUCUGAGCUCGACUGCGUGAGCCCAGGCUGCUCUAGGGCUGCUGGGACCCGAGCUCUGGGCUCCUGGAGGAAGGAGGCUCCAGGAUCAAACUGGAAGCUUGAGCUGUUUCCCGGCACAGGUGGCCCCACUGGAGUCUAGAGUCGUAGGGGGUGCUCACUGGCUCUGUGACCUUGGGCGAGCCACUUGAGAUAAUAGUAGGUUCGCUGUGAUUUUUCAGCGGAGAUAAUCUAUGCAAAAGUACAGGAGCGCUGACUGCUGUCGUGAUUGUUAUCAUUGAUUUGUUUGGAGCUUAAAGGUGGAAACCCAGGGCCAAGGUUUGAGAUGGGCUGGCUGCUCAGCUUGGACCAGACCCCUGUGUCAGGCAGAAUCUUAUCUUCUGCUGCCUGAAAUGGGAGCAGUGUCCCCUGCUCUGCUCUAAGUCCCUAUAACAAUCAGUGGAGGUAGGAGUUCCUGCUGUGGUGCCACAGAUGGGCGGCAUCUCUGGAGUCCUGGGACACAGGUUCGAUCCCCAGCCUGGCACAGUGGGUUAAGGAUCCAGCGUUGCCACAGUUGUGGCGUGGGUCGCAACUGUGGCUCAGACCUGAUCACGGGCCUGGGAACUCCAUAUGCCCUGGGGUGGCCAAAAAAGAAAAAACAAACAACCAACAUUAGUGGAGGUGAAUAGACCGAAGCUUCUUGCAGACUCUGAGGGUCACUGUGUUUGAGAGUCUGGGUCAGUUUCACUCGUGGCCACAGCGGAAGUUCUCUGGGGUCGGCAGCUUCUAGAGGGGACCAUGCUGGCAGCCUGGAUGGCCUCCCUUGGGGUGCAGCAUCACUGCCUCACUGGAGCGGGGCUUCUGGGGGCUGGGCUGAGCAGAAGCCGGAAGGCGUAAAGGACACGGCUCCGUGACUCACUGCAUAUGUUUGGGCACCGCUGUGGCUGCUGCCUGGGCCUGGCUUCGAGCUCUGGGGGCCUCUAUGGGCCAACAGUUCCUCUGGGGCCUUUCUCCCUGCCCUGGGGUGGGCCAGCUUCCAGGGGGCAGCAGGGGAGCUCCGCCUUGGCUAUUGUUAUUAUAAAGGAUUCUGGAGUCAAAAUAGGAGACUUGGGUGGACCUAGGGGUCCCAGGAGAGCUGUAUGAAAAUGCCCUUUUUUGGGGGUUCACUCUAGUUGUUGCUGUCAUUUUCUGAGCACUUGGCAUGUGCCAAGCAGUGUGCCAGGCGUGCUUCAGAGAGUAUCUUGUUGGAUACUUACUCCAACCCCGCGAGCAUCUGUUCUGAUUUUAUAGGGAACGAGACCAAAGGGGCUGAGUAAAUGCCUGGCUUUAAACAGCCACACUUGAACCCAAUCUCUGAGCUUGAUUGGGUCUCCUCUGUGGGCACCCACCCCACCUCUGUGCUGUGUGUGCGCGCGUGUGCAUGCGUUCUCUGCGCUACUGGAGCAGGCAGGACCAGCGCGGGCCUCCUACUCCCCCUGCAUAGCUGACAUUCCCUGCUCCCUGAUGGCAUGGCAGGUGACCCCGGGCCAGCCAGAUCCAGCCUUAUAUGGCAAUGGGACAAAUUCUCUCUGGCUUCCCACAAGGUCAGCGGGAAGCAGUGGGGCUGGGUGGGCGCCUCUCAAAGUGCCUUUAGCCUUGGGAUGGAGCAGGAGCCUGGAGGAUGCAGGGCACUGUGGCUUUUGCAGUGGCCAGAGGCCAGGGUCUUGAGCAAAAUGACGUGCGUGGUGCCUUUGCUCUGGGUUCAGCGCUUGACAUGCUUCGUCGCACUGACUUCUCUCAGUGGAAUGCUCGGUACACGGAUACGCAGCAAGAAUCUGUAAACACCCCAGGACGCAGGGAUUAUGAGGCCUCCCAUUUUAGAGAUGAGGAAACAGAGGCUCAGCCAGGUGAAGUCACACAGCCAGGAAGUGGCAGAGCCGGGAUUCUGUCUCCAGUCACUGCCCACAGCCUGCCCUGGCCCCUGCCCACCAGGUGGCCGUGGCCUCUCUGUGACACAGGCCUCUCUUGCUUAUGUGGAUAAGGAUCUCUGGCUACUGUCCCGCCCUCUCAGCCCUCCUGGGUCGAAUGAAGGGCACUCAGCAUUCCCUGUCGCAUUUUGGCGCCUUAUUUAUUUCACAACCCAUGUGCCAUCUGUGCUGGGAAGACGUGGGCGCAGCAGACUGGGUAUCCUUGCCCAGAGCUGGGGGAAGGGUACUUGUCCCCGGUCCCUCCCCCAGAAGCGGGGGACCCCUGAGACCUGACCCGGGCACUUCUCAGGUGUGUCUCUUUUCCUGUGUACUGGCAGUGCCGCCCUGUCUCUGCCCAGGUGUCCAAGGACCAGAGGGUCCAGGCUCACCAGGAGGACUUCGGGGGACGAUAGGGACAAAGAAAACUGUGGCUGGGUCUUCUGUACCCUUCCUGUGCUCAGUGUGGCUUGAGUUUGGGCCAUGCAAACACAUGGUGAUAAUUGCUACCCCUUAGGGAAGCAUCCCAGGAGCCAGAUUCUUUCUGCAGUUAGCUCAUUGACUCUUUAUAUCAACCCAAUGAGGAGGUUCUGUCAUUAGGCUUCCAAUUUACAGAGGAGGAAACAGAGGCCCAGAGGGGUCAAGCAAGUUGUCCAGGGCCACGGAGCAAGUAGUUGCUGGAGCUGGGAUUUGAACCCAGGCAGGCCAACUCAACCUUCCUGCCCCAUCCCUCUCUGCCUUCGGGCCCUGUACUUGGAGGAAAGAUGAUUUCCUCAAAACCUUGCCCUCUGGGGCCUCUGUUUCCCCAGCUGUUGAACCAAGAGGACAGGCUGGAUGCUCUGAGGCGUCCCUUCUGGGUUCUGAGACGGGGUGGGUGUCAUAACAGCUCUGCCACCACCCCAGGCCUGGCCCUGGGGACACUGGCUUGAGGAGUGACCCGCCUGGCUCACAGCUUCCUGUUUUUGAGCCUGGGCUCCUCCCUGCUUGCUUUUUCUGGCUCUUUGCCAGGGACUGACCAGGCCACCAAGGCCUCUAGCCUUGCCCCUCUGCUCGUCACUGGUCACUCUCAGAGCCCAGGGGUCCCCGUAUCGCUCAUAGCCAGAGGCCCUGACAGCAGUUUCUACAGCACGACAAAUGUGCCUUUGGGGACAGUGGGCUGGAGUUGUGGGGGGACUAGUGUAAACCAUCCAUGCACACCCCACCCCCUUAGGGGGCUAGAGAGUGGUUCCCAGGCCUCUGGAAUAACCCUCUGCAGCUGCCCAAGAAGAAAGAUAACUCCCAGUAUUGACUUUCUUUGCCCAGAAACCUGUGGCCGGGCCUUGUUUGUGGGCAGGGAGGGAGCUGGGAUGGUGAAGGGAGCUAGGCCUUGAAUUGUUAAAAUGCUGCGCUCUUCAGGAAGUUGAGCCACCUGUCUGGGCCUCGGUUGUCCCAUCUGUCAAAUGGGGAUCCCCAGAAAGGGGAAAGAGGAAUCAGGAAACUGGGGGAAGGGCUUUCCUUCCUAAUCUGUUCAAUAGUCAAUGGCAUCUGAAGGAUGAGCUCUGGGGGUUAUAAGUGGAUUGGACAUAUGUAAACAUUAGACAAUAAUAGUAAUAAAUAGCUAACAUUUAUUUAACAUUUACUGCAUGCCAGGCCCUGCAUUUAGCACUUUACACGCAUACUUACUUACAUGGUAUAAUUCUCAGGACAGGCCUAUGAGGUAGAUGUUUUGAUCCUUCCUACAGAUGCGGAAACUGAGACACAGACAGAUGAGGUCAUUUUUGCACAGCCCUCGGUGUGUUCAAACCUCCGCAUUCUGGCUCCAGCUUGCCCUCUUCUUUUGUUUUUUCUUCCAAACAUCUGGUGUGACCUCUAGCUCCAUCCCCUCUGCCUGGGGGUGCACAUUUAGGGCAGCCUUGAGUACUGGAGCCUGGACAGACAAGGUACCUGCCCAGUGGGCGUGGCUGUGCUGCAGUGGGCAUGGCUGGGCAAGGAUAUGGGGGAUGGACGCCCGGAGGGAAGAAGCUGUGGGCUGUGCUCGAGCAGGAGCAGGAACCGAGAAUCCAAAGCUCGGAGGUGGGUUGGGAGCUGGCAGCUGAGAAGGGAGCUCCUGUUCCUGCCACCCGGCUGCCAAAGGUGUGGUCCACCCAGCUGCCCCAAGCCUGGAGUCAGCAAGGGCUGGCGACCCACGCAUGAGCGGAUCAGCUGCUUCUCCCACCCCUGGUCACUCUGUGGCUCAAGCAUUUGUCACUUUUGGCUCUAAGGAAAAAUGCGAUUCCAAGCUGAGUCCUCUCCAGCCUCAGUCACACGCAUACACAGAUGCCUUUGCAAAGCUGCCUUUCCAUGUCAGGGGAAGAGUGGAGAAAGCGACGGGGGCUGAGUGGCAGUCUUCUCUGUUUACUCAAUGUUUAUCGAGCACCUACUAGAUGCUGAGCACUUCUGGGUGCUAGGCAUUCAUGGGGCAGAGACAGUAAACACAUCCUCCUAGAACCUGUGACCAAGGACCUGCAUCCUCCCAGCAUCCUUCCAAAACCCACUUCCUUGGGUCACUCCUACUCCUGGCUGUGUGCACAGAGGGAACUCCAGCAGCCUGUGCCAUGGAGUUUAACCCCAGCUCGGCCACUUGCUAGCUGUGCUGCCUUGAUGAGUCAGUUGUUUAUCCUGAGUCUCAAUUCAUUGACCUUUUUUUUUUUUUUUGCUUUUUAGGGUUGCACCCGCGGCAUAUGGAGGUUCCCAGGCUCGGGGUCUAAUCAGAGCUGUAGCUGCCCACCUACACCACAGCCACAGCAACGCAGGACCCGAGCCUGUGUCUGUGACCUACCCCCCAGCUCACGACAAUGCUGGAUCCUUAAUCCACUCAAGCGAAGCCAGGGAUCGAACCCGAAACCUCAUGGUUCCUAGUUGGAUUCAUUUCCGCUGUGUCGCGACAGGAGCUCCGAGCAAAUAUUUAUUGAGUACCUACUACGUGGAACCUACCAGGGGGAGACCGGUAAUGGACAACACCCUCAAUAAGCAAUUACAGGCUGCCGUGUGGAUUUGAUCCCUGGCCACAGGCGUGGUCAAAAUAAUAAUAAUAAUUAGCAGUUACAUCAUCGAUUGUGUUAGGAAAGGGCUCACCCCUUGAAAUAUAAGGUGUUAUUUUAAGGUGGAUCGGAAGUGGAGGCAGGGACUCCGGUGGGCAGAGUGGACAGAGUGGCCUCGCUGGGAGGGUGACAGUUGAGUAAAGACUUGAAGGACGGGACACGCAGAUAUGUGCGCCCCAGGUGGGGACACAGCUGGAGCCACAGUCCCAAGUUGAGAGUAUGUCUGGCAUGGGAGGGGCAGAGAAGGGAGGCCAGGGUUGCUGAGGCACCCUCCCCAGGGGCGAGGGGUGGGGAGCCGGGGGACACACGUGAAAUAGCGUGUUAGAUGGUGAUCAGUGCCUGGCCCAAGGUCAGGUCCACGGAGGGGUGUGGUUAUUAAGCUCUCUACCCAUCCAGGCUGAGCUCUUAUCUGUGUUUGUCUGUGUCUGCUUUGCCUCCAAGACCAGGGAGCCGUCCUACCCUUGAACCCCAUCUGCCCGGAUCCCUAGAGGUGGUCAGUGUAUAAUUACAGACAGGUUCCCGUGCAGGAUUUCUGGGCAGGGGCAUUAGGACGGCUUCCAGGUUUCUGCCCAGAAGUUCCCAGAUGCUGGGCUUUGCCUGUGCUCUUCUGCCUCCCUAGAAAGGUUUUCC